AUGGCAGGAACCAAAGCUGCCAUGGAGGACUAUAGUGUGAGGAUGGGUUUUGUGGAUGAUUAUAUUUGUGCUAUUUGUGAUGAGGGUGGCGACUUGAUAUGUUGUGAUGGUGACUGUGGGAGGUCAUUCCACCCAACCAAACCUACUGGUGAAGCUUCUCAUUGCGACACUCUUGGUCUGAGUGAAGAACAACUGUUUCUGUGCGAAAAUUGUGAGUCUAAGAAGCACCAGUGCUUUGUUUGCGGAGAGUUGGGAUCUUCAGACCAAGGAGGAGGCGGACAGGUCAUCAUACAGUGCAAUAAAAGGGGCUGUAAGCGCUUUUACCACCCUGAAUGUCUUCCACUGGACAUCAAUAAUUUGCCAGGGGAUUCAUGCCCUAUGCAUGAAUGCUACUCGUGCAAGAAAAAACAUGCAACAUCAAAGGGUAACAAAACAACAGGAAAAACAAAGGGAAAAGAAACGUGCAGGAAAAAACAUGCAACGUCGGAGGGUAAUAAAACAAGAGGAAAAUCAAAGGGAAGGGGAACGUGGGAAAUGGACUUGGUGCUAUGCAGGCGCUGCCCCAAAGCAUUUCAUCGGAAGUGCUUGCCAAGGAAAAUCUAUGGCGGUGAAGGUGAAAUACAGAGGAUAUGGGAGACUGCGGGUGGGACUGUGUUCUAUUGCAGGGAUCAUGAGAUGGUAGAAAAUCUCAGAAGUGCAAAGAGGAACCGUAUUAAGUUUCGAGAAGAAAAACCUAAAGGUGCGGCUGAAAAUCAAAGUGUUGAGGAUGGGAACAAGUGA
rnacentral:rRNA from 1 species